GACGAACGCUGGCGGCGUGCCUAAUACAUGCAAGUCGAGCGGAAGUUGGAGAGCUUGCUCUUCAACUUUAGCGGCGGACGGGUGAGUAACACGUGGGCAACCUGCCCUGCAGAUCGGGAUAACUCCGGGAAACCGGUGCUAAUACCGAAUAGUUUUCGCCACCUCCUGGUGGAGUACGGAAAGAAGGGUUCGGCUGUCACUGCAGGAUGGGCCCGCGGCGCAUUAGCUAGCUGGUGGGGUAACGGCCGACCAAGGCGACGAUGCGUAGCCGACCUGAGAGGGUGAUCGGCCACAAUGGGACUGAGACACGGCCCCUGCUCCUACGGGAUGCAGCAGUAGGGAAUCUUCCGCAAUGGACGAAAGUCUGACGGAGCAACGCCGCGUGAGUGACGAAGGUUUUCGGAUCGUAAAACUCUGUUGUGAGGGAAGAACAAGUACCAACUAACUACUGGUACCUUGACGGUACCUCACCAGAAAGCCGCUGCUAACUUCGUGCCAGCCGCCGCAGUAAAAC
rnacentral:rRNA from 1 species